rnacentral:rRNA from 1 species
AAUCAACGCUGGCGGCGUGCCUCAGACAUGCAAGUCGAACGCGAAAGUUCCCUUCGGGGGAUAAGUAGAGUGGCGUCCGGGUGAGUAACACGUAGGUAAUCUACCUUUGGGUGGGGAAUAACAACCGGAAACGGUUGCUAAUACCGCAUAAUGCAGCGGCACCACAUGGUGACAGUUGUUAAAGCGGGGGAUCGCAAGACCUCGCGCCUAAAGAGGAGCCUGCGGCGGAUUAGCUAGUUGGAGGGUAACGGCCUACCAAGGCAACGAUCCGUAGCCGGCCUGAGAGGGCGGUCGGCCACACUGACACUGAAAUACGGGUCAGACUCCUACGGGAGGCAGCAGUCGGGAAUUUUGGGCAAUGGGCGAAAGCCUGACCCAGCAACGCCGCGUGAAGGAUGAAAUCCCUCGGGAUGUAAACUU